CUUGAGCGCUAGCACUCUAUCACAGCUAACAGCGUUUCUAUGGGAACGUUAAUGAUUCCAUAGUUACAAAGACUUUCUUCUUCYGUUGUUUGAAAAUAAAUUAGUUAGUCAAGAAGUUGCACUUACUCGCUCCAUAACGUAUUAAUCCUCAACGCAUUUUUGUUAUCCGUUUUUGUUCUUGUUUUCGUUUUGUUCUGUAAUAGUUUAUAAAUAAAUAAAUGUUACAURAAAAUAGUAGUGGUGAUCAGAGUUCAAACCAAUAGUAUUCUAGUUCCUGAUUCUUGCCGCUACAUUUAUGUUGAUUGAGCUGCCAUCUGGUGUUACUAGCGGGAGUUGGCUGAGACGCCACAAAUGUUAUAUAUGUAAAAAAAUGUACUUUCUUUAAAAUUGAAUUUGCCGCGCUAUCACAGUUGGGUAGUAAACUUGGCAAUAUGGAUUGAUGAUUAGAGAGGAAUAUAUAGAUACGAAAAAAGAGAACAGAAAGCACGUAUGUAAUUUUUAGUGCAAAACAAAGGGCAAAUAAAAGUAUAACGUGGAAAAAGGAACUUUAAUUGUCGUUUCUCUGUUGGGUCAAAAUGCCGUCGAAAAGAAAUGUCAAUAAUUCUUCUACAAGUAUAAAAACCGAUAAAAUGAAAAAAGCAAAAUCAGUCAAGACAUGUUUUAAUUGUGAUGAAGAAAAUUUAAAAUAUGCUCUUAUAAUAUGCUUAAAAAUGAAGAAAAAAUUGCUACAGCAAGCAAAUUAUAUAAUGUUCUUGAGACAAUUCUACAUAAUAGAUUUUAUAAAAUAGUCUCCUGAAAUUAUUGGAAGAGUUGGACUUGUAUCUAUACUUAUUAGUAAGAUUGAGGAUCGGUUAAAAGAAUGGGUGUUGGAAAUUUGUUAUAAAGGUUUUCCCAUCUAUAAAGAAUGUUAUUUCAGUGAAGUAGUUAAUCAAAAUUGGAAACAUGAAUAAUCCUUUCACAGAUGGUGCACCGGGAAUAAAGUGGUUUUAAGGAUUUGUGAAACACCGCCUACGAGUUAGUCGUAAAAAAGCUGAGAAUCAGGGAUACUAUAACUGAACAUCAUAUUCGUGCAUGGUUUAGUAUGAAAGAUUUUUAAGAAAGAAAUUUAAGAUUUAUAAGAAAGAUUUAAAAACAAAAAGUGGAGGUAUUGUCUUAUCUAAAAAAGGGAAAAGCUGUUUAUGACGUAACAAGAAAUGAAAAAGAAAAUGUAACAUUAUUUACUGUAAACGCAUGUGGAGAAUCGGUAAAACUGAAAAUGGAUAGAUGUUCAUAAGCGUAAUGUACCUUCAUUGUUCGUUAAGGUUAUUACUAAAAAUGAUUUUGUUGCAUCUAUAAAAAAUGGCUUUGCUACAACUGGUUCGUAUUGAUUAACACUAAACCUACCACUCGCAGUCAAAUGACCAUGUUCUGUAAUUUAUAAAAAUGUGAUAAUUUGUAAAAAAUGCAGUAAAAUCUCAUAAAAUAUACAUUAUUCAUUUCUAAAUG